rnacentral:rRNA from 1 species
UACGGAGGAUCCGAGCGUUAUCCGGAAUUACUGGGCGUAAAGAGUUGCGUAGGUGGUUUACUAAGCGAAGCAUAAAAGCCCACGGCUCAACCGUGGUCCUAUGUUUCGAACUAGUAGACUUGGGUAUGGAAGAGGUAGCUGGAAUUCCAGGUGUAGGAGUGAAAUCCGUAGAUAUCUGGAGGAACACCGAUGGCGUAGGCAGGCUACUGGUCCAUUACCGACACUGAGGCACGAAAGCGUGGGGAGCGAACGGG